UACGUAUGGUGCGAGCGUUAUCCGGAUUUACUGGGUGUAAAGGGAGCGUAGACGGCUGUGCAAGUCUGAAGUGAAAGGCCGGGGCCCAACCCCGGGAGUGCUUUGGAAACUGUGCGGCUAGAGUGUCGGAGAGGCAAGUGGAAUUCCCAGUGUAGCGGUGAAAUGCGUAGAUAUUGGGAGGAACACCAGUGGCGAAGGCGUCUUGCUGGACGAUGACUGACGUUGAGGCUCGAAAGCGUGGGGAGCAAACAGG
rnacentral:rRNA from 1 species